CAAGUCGUACGCUUCUUUUUCCACCGGNGCUUGCUCCACCGGAAAAAGAGGAGUGGCGAACGGGUGAGUAACACGUGGGUAACCUGCCCAUCAGAAGGGGAUAACACUUGGAAACAGGUGCUAAUACCGUAUAACAAUCGAAACCGCAUGGUUUUGAUUUGAAAGGCGCUUUCGGGUGUCGCUGAUGGAUGGACCCGCGGUGCAUUAGCUAGUUGGUGAGGUAACGGCUCACCAAGGCCACGAUGCAUAGCCGACCUGAGAGGGUGAUCGGCCACAUUGGGACUGAGACACGGCCCAAACUCCUACGGGAGGCAGCAGUAGGGAAUCUUCGGCAAUGGACGAAAGUCUGACCGAGCAACGCCGCGUGAGUGAAGAAGGUUUUCGGAUCGUAAAACUCUGUUGUUAGAGAAGAACAAGGAUGAGAGUAACUGUUCAUCCCUUGACGGUAUCUAACCAGAAAGCCACGGCUAACUACGUGC
rnacentral:rRNA from 1 species